CCUACGGGUGGCAGCAGUGGGGAAUAUUGCGCAAUGGGCGAAAGCCUGACGCAGCGACGCCGCGUGAGGGAUGAAGGUCUUCGGAUUGUAAACCUCUGUCAGCAGGGAAGAACGGUUACUGUGCUAUUCAGCAGUGAAUUGACGGUACCUGCAAAGGAAGCACCGGCUAACUCCGUGCCAGCAGCCGCGGUAAUACGGAGGGUGCGAGCGUUAAUCGGAAUUACUGGGCGUAAAGCGCGCGUAGGCGGUAUGUCAAGUCAAGGGUGAAAUCCCCGCGCUCAACGUGGGAACUGCCUUUGAAACUGGCAGACUGGAGGGCGUGAGAGGAUGGUGGAAUUCCAGGUGUAGCAGUGAAAUGCGUAGAUAUCUGGAGGAACAUCGGUGGCGAAGGCGGCUAUCUGGCACAUAACUGACGCUGAGGAGCGAAAGCGUGGGUAGCAAACAGGAUUAGAUACCCUGGUAGUC
rnacentral:rRNA from 1 species